UACAGAGGUGGCAAGCGUUGUUCGGAAUUACCGGGCGUAAAGGGCGCGUAGGUGGCCCGUCAAGUCCCGUGUGAAAGCCCCCGGCUCAACCGGGGAACGGCGCGGGAAACUAGCAGGCUUGAGUUCGGGAGAGGGAAGCGGAAUUCCGGGUGUAGCGGUGAAAUGCGCAGAUAUCCGGAGGAACACCGGUGGCGAAGGCGGCUUCCUGGACCGACACUGACGCUGAGGCGCCGAAAGCUAGGGGAGCAAACGGG
rnacentral:rRNA from 1 species